CAGUAGCCACGGUAAUACGUAGGUGGCAAGCGUUGUCCGGAAUUAUUGGGCGUAAAGCGCGCGCAGGUGGUUUAAUAAGUCUGAUGUGAAAGCCCACGGCUCAACCGUGGAGGGUCAUUGGAAACUGUUAAGCUUGAGUGCAGGAGAGAAAAGUGGAAUUCCUAGUGUAGCGGUGAAAUGCGUAGAGAUUAGGAGGAACACCAGUGGCGAAGGCGGCUUUUUGGCCUGUAACUGACACUGAGGCGCGAAAGCGUGGGGAGCAAACAGGAUUAGAUACCCCAGUAGUCCCUGUCUCUUAUAC
rnacentral:rRNA from 1 species